rnacentral:lncRNA from 10 species
CUCUUAUGUUCCUGUAUCAUCUGCCAUGAGAAAGGCAUGUCUCAGAAGGGGGCUUCCCUUUAGGCUUGAGUCCUAGGAAAGGGGAUACAUGGAGAAGACCUGAACUUGACCCACAGCCUGAAGCAGAGAUUCAUCAGCCAGCCUAAUCUGCAAACAUGCAACAAGGGUAACAAAUGAUAUAUAUUCUUGUUUUCCCAUAAACUGCUGGGACUUCGGGGUUGUUUGUUAUGUAGUAUAUCCUAGUUAAAUCUGCCCUAGUACUGUGGUAUAAUAGAAGUAAGCAGAGAAUACGAUGAGGAAACAUUCAAUAAGUUCAAAAGCAAGCCUUGAGCAAUGGUCAGCAAAAACUGCUUUGAAGAAGAGAUGCAUGUAAAUUAAGUCC